rnacentral:tRNA from 1 species
GGAAAUGUGCCCGAAUAGAAUAAGGACCACUUUGAUAGGGUGGACCAUGAGAGUUAAAGCCCCUCCAUUUCCU